rnacentral:rRNA from 1 species
GAUCCUGGCUCAGAUUGAACGCUGGCGGCAGGCCUAACACAUGCAAGUCGAACGGUAACAGAAAGCAGCUUGCUGCUUUGCUGACGAGUGGCGGACGGGUGAGUAAUGUCUGGGAAACUGCCUGAUGGAGGGGGAUAACUACUGGAAACGGUAGCUAAUACCGCAUAACGUCGCAAGACCAAAGAGGUCGGUACGUCGGCUNUC